UUUGUGUGUGAAUGAUGAUGAUUUGCAGUUUGCAUAUAAUCUUGGAGUGUUGUUGUUGACCUUAGCGCUAACAAAAAGUUCAAACAGUAAUUUGCUGUUUGCUUGAUUCGAUAUUCCGAUCGUCGUUUGUUUGGUGAUAAUUCGUGUUGAGCUACGAUGUUUUACUUGUGUAGCAACAUUGCGUGACUUAUUUUUAGAAGUAAACGCGCUUCGGCUUCUCCUCUAGGGAGCGAAAGUGGCAGGUUUUAAAACAUACCAUUUUUUGGCAAACUCCGUAUCACAUUAACAGCGGCGUGAAACUUCUCUUCGGUCGUCAUCUUCCUGCUUCCUUUCUAUUUUAUUACUUCACUGAAAAUCUGAACUUCCGUGUUUUUACGCGAUGUUAGCUGGGAGUAUACUUGUGCACUUCGGACAUUUCCAAACGCAAUCCGACGGAUUCGACGGCGAGCGAAGGUUGAGCGCGCUAGGCGAACGUAAUCAAACGAAUGGAAACAGGAAAAAAUUAAAAACAAGACGACGCGACGUUCGCGCACUCACUGUCACACUCCCAUUUGCGUUCAUUUGUUGUGCUCGCCUUCGCCCCGUUCGGAAAUCGCCAGGAAGCGCUGCGCAGUGCCGAUAGUUGCCAAUGCCAGCCCGCGCAAUGUCAACCGGGUCGACGCAUGUCAAAUAUCAAAUAUACAAAUCAUAUAUAUUACACCGAUUCGUGAGAGUUGUUUAAACUAAUUUUGUUGUUUUAUAACGAUUCUCCGCUUAUUUAACAACUAGAUUUCAUAUUAAUGCUUAACUUUCAUCUAAUUUUAAUUGUUAAUCUUUCUUUUGCGUUUAAAUUUAAGUUUUAUUCUAUUUGUACAGUUUUGGUGCAUGAUCCAUGUAAUAUAUAUCUAGCAAUGAAGAAGCACUUUUGUCGUUUAAAAUUUGUCAUUGUUUAAAUGCUGCUUUUCGCCUAAUAAAUCUAAAAUUUGUUUAUUUUUUAAAGUGUUAAUUAUACUCUUAAAAUCGUCUGCGUCUAACAAAUAACUUAAAUAAGUCACAUUCUGCCCCAGAGCGUUAUUCAACCAGUACGUUUGUUACAUUCACAACUAAUUGCGCAUCGCGCCUCCUGACACAAUAAACGAAUAUCGUUUCUGACUAAAAAAGAACAAAACAUUUCCAUCCCGACAUUCUGCGCUCUGUCGCGUCGUCUAAUUACAACGAGUCUAACAAGUUUUAUUACAAGUCUUAUUGGCAUGACUCUCGCCAAGUCGUAUAGUUAACGAAUAGCAUUUUAUUAUGGUGGUACGUGGAUAGCAAGUUAUUUCAAUCUAUCUACGCCGAGAGAAUUCGUUAAUUCUACGCCGCCCCGCGCGCCAUCUACUUCAGGUCAAUGUUUGGCGGUUUAUCCGCCAUGAUCGCCUUGAUGUCAUCGGCGUCGAGCGUUUCAUACUUCAUCAGCGCCUCGGCCAGAGCCUUAUGUUCCUUUGCAUGCAUCUUCAGGAUCUGCUUCGCCCUUUCAUAGCUAUCGGACAUAAUUUUUUUGAUUUCCGAAUCAAUCUAAACAAAUAAACACUUUUAGUCAUACUAAAUCAGAAAAAUAUAAAAUGUCUCACCAUUUCGUUGGUAGAUGGCCCUAGCAUAUCCCCACUGAAAGGUUUACUUCCUUCAGCGACAGUUCUAAGUCCCACUCGUUCCGACAUGCCCCAAUCUUUGACCAUAUGAGUAGCAAUAGACGUGGCUUGUUUAAGAUCCGAACUAGCGCCUGAUGUGAUCUUAUCCGGGCCGAAUACCAGCUCCUCAGCGGCACGUCCGCCCAUCAUCGUAUCCAUCAUAGCAAGCAGUUGACUCUUAGUGACAUGAUACCUCUCUUUUUCAGGGAUAUACGCUGUGUGACCCAAACUGGGCCCGCGGGGGAUUAUUGUCACCUUAUGCAGCGGAUGGCUGUCUUUAGUGUAAAAGGCAACAAUGGCAUGGCCGCCCUCAUGGUACGCUGUAAUCAUAUUCGCUUCCUCAUCAGGUAUCCGCGAUUUUCGCUCCGGACCCAUGAGGACUUUAUCACGAGCCGAUUCUAAAUAUUUCAUUGAGACCGAGUUGCAACCAUCGAUAGCAGCCCUGUAUUUAAUACCAAAAUUAAAGAAAAAAUAAAACAUACAAGUUAUAAUUGUUAAA